rnacentral:lncRNA from 1 species
CCUUGCCUGCAUCUUGCCGCCUCGGACCCGUUCCCGACCUUCCUUGUUGGCAACAUCGCCAUUCCUCGCCAAGUUCCGUGUCGCCGCUUCUCCUGUCGUGCUGCUGUGCCUCGUCUCUGUUGUUGCCUCUGUUGUCCAGAGAACAGAGCCAGCACUCCCCUUUGCUUCGAACGUGGUCGACGUCUCUCGCGUUGACAAGCCAGCCGACGCCAAGGCCCAGCCCGACCACUGCCUCCUCCAGCUCUAGCGCGGCCCAACCGCCUCCCUCUACAAGGCCCAGCAUCGCACCGAGCACCCGCAGCUCCCUCCCGCGCGUGGGCCUGCUCCAGCGUGCAACCGCGGCCCCGCUUCGCCCCGUCGGCCCAUCGCCCGUGGCACAGCCGAACCUCGUCUCCGAGCCGGCCAGAUCUGGCCCAUGGUGAGCUGCCCCCUGGCCUAUAUGUCGCCCUAGCGCUAAAUAGCUAUGUUGCGCCUAGCCCCGUUUCACAGUUUCGGCCCAUCUAUAUAUUUUUCCUGUCAUGCGUAUUUGCUAAUUAACCAUUGAUUACAAAAUAAAUCCAUAUUUUAAAAUGCUCAUAUUUAAUUAACCGUGCCUCGGAU